CCCGCUGAACUUAAGCAUAUCAAUAAGCGGAGGAAAAGAAACUAACAAGGAUUCCCCUAGUAACUGCGAGUGAAGCGGGAAAAGCUCAAAUUUGAAAUCUGGCGGCUCUGCCGUCCGAGUUGUAUUCUGGAGAAGUGCCUUCCGCGCCGGACCGUGUACAAGUCCCUUGGAACAGGGCGUCAUAGAGGGUGAGAAUCCCGUAUGUGAUCGGUGCCGUUGCCCGUGUAAAGCGCUUUCGACGAGUCGAGUUGUUUGGGAAUGCAGCUCAAAAUGGGUGGUAAAUUUCAUCUAAAGCUAAAUAUUGGCCAGAGACCGAUAGCGCACAAGUAGAGUGAUCGAAAGAUGAAAAGCACUUUGGAAAGAGAGUUAAACAGUACGUGAAAUUGUUGAAAGGGAAACGCUUGAAGUCAGUCACGUUGGCCAGAAAUCAACUUGUAACAGGGCGUAAUUUCUGGUUUUACGGGUCAACAUCAAUUUUGAUUGUUGGAUAAAAGUCAAUAUUUAUGCGUUUUCGGACGUGUAGCCUUUGAUUGCAUACAAUGGUUGGGAUUGAGGAACUCAGCACGCCGCAAGGCCGGGUAACUUGUUACCACGUAACGUGCUUAGGAUGUUGGCAUAAUGGCUUUAAUCGACCCGUCUUGAAACACGG
rnacentral:rRNA from 1 species